rnacentral:rRNA from 1 species
AAAACUCUGAGACGUGAUACCGAGCCGCUUCAGGCGAAGUCAUUGAUCCUAUGCUGCCUAGAAAAGCCCAGCAGCGAGUUGACAUGGUGCCCGUACCCCAAACCAACACAGGUGGACAGGUAGAGCAUACCAAGGCGAGUGGGAUAACUAUGGUUAAGGAACUCGGCAAAUUGCCUCCGUAACUUCGGGAGAAGGAGGACCCCAGUAGCGUGAUGAGACUUGCUCUCUGAGCGUGAAGGGGUGGCACAAAAUUGAGGGAAGCGACUGUUUACCAAAAACACAGCAGCGUGCUAAGCCGUAAGGCGCUGUAUACGCUGUGACUCCUGCCCGGUGCUGGAAGGUUACGGGGAUGGGUUAGUCCUUCGGGACGAAGCUCUGAACCUAAGCCCCAGUAAACGGCGGCCGUAACUAUAACGGUCCUAAGGUAGCGAAAUUCCUUGUCGGGUAAGUUCCGACCUGCACGAAUGGAGUAACGACUUCCCUACUGUCUCAACCAUAGACCCAGCGAAAUUGAAGUACGAGUAAAGAUGCUCGUUAGCUGCAGAAGGACGGAAAGACCCCGUGGACCUUUACUAUAACUUGAUGUUGUGUUUUGUCAUAUGUUGUGUAGGAUAGGUGGGAGACUUGGAAGCAUGGACGCUAGUCUGUGUGGAGUCAUCGUUGAAAUACCACCCUGCAUAUGGUGAGGCUCUAACCUAGACCCGUUAUCCGGGUUGGGGACAGCGUCAGGCGGGUAGUUUAACUGGGGCGGUUGCCUCCUAAAGAGUAACGGAGGCGCCCAAAGGUUCCCUCAGCCUGGUUGGCAAUCAGGCGUUGAGUGCAAUGGCAAAAGGGAGCUUGACUGCGAGACCUACAAGUCGAGCAGGAGCGAAAGCUGGGCAUAGUGAUCCGGCGGUUGCGUGUGGAAGCGCCGUCGCUCAACGGAUAAAAGGUACCCCGGGGAUAACAGGCUAAUCUUGCCCAAGCGUCCAUAGCGACGGCAAGGUUUGGCACCUCGAUGUCGGCUCAUCGCAUCCUGGGGCUGAAGCAGGUCCCAAGGGUUGGGCUGUUCGCCCAUUAAAGCGGUACGCGAGCUGGGUUCAGAACGUCGUGAGACAGUUCGGUCCCUAUCCUCUGCAGCCGGAGGUGAAUUGAGGAAAGCUGUCCCUAGUACGAGAGGACCGGGACGGACGCAGCUCUCGUGUGCCAGUUGUCCUGCCAAGGGCAUGGCUGGUUAGCGACCUGCGGAAAGGAUAACCGCUGAAAGCAUCUAAGCGGGAAGCCUCUUCCAAGAUGAAUUCACCCACAGGGUUAACCUGGUAAGGCCCGUGGUAGACCACCACGUUGAUAGGCCGGAAGUGUAAGCGUGGCAACACGUUCAGCUGACCGGUACUAAUCGGCCGAGGGCUUGAGCU